GACGUAGGGCGCGAGCGUUGUCCGGAUUUAUUGGGCGUAAAGAGCUCGUAGGCGGUCCGUCGCGUCGGUCGUGAAAACUUGGGGCUUAACCCUGAGCUUGCGGUCGAUACGGGCAUGACUGGAGUUCGGCAGGGGAGACUGGAAUUCCUGGUGUAGCGGUGAAAUGCGCAGAUAUCAGGAGGAACACCGGUGGCGAAGGCGGGUCUCUGGGCCGAUACUGACGCUGAGGAGCGAAAGCGUGGGGAGCGAACAGG
rnacentral:rRNA from 1 species